AGUGAACGCUGGCGGUAGGCCUAACACAUGCAAGUCGAACGGCAGCACAGUAAGAGCUUGCUCUUACGGGUGGCGAGUGGCGGACGGGUGAGGAAUACAUCGGAAUCUACUUUUUCGUGGGGGAUAACGUAGGGAAACUUACGCUAAUACCGCAUACGACCUACGGGUGAAAGCAGGGGAUCUUCGGACCUUUCGCGAUUGAAUGAGCCGAUGUCGGAUUAGCUAGUUGGCGGGGUAAAGGCCCACCAAGGCGACGAUCUGUAGCUGGUCUGAGAGGAUGAUCGGCCACACUGGAACUGAGACACGGUCCAGACUCCUACGGGAGGCAGCAGUGGGGAAUAUUGGACAAUGGGCGCAAGCCUGAUCCAGCCAUACCGCGUGGGUGAAGAAGGCCUUCGGGUUGUAAAGCCCUUUUGUUGGGAAAGAAAAGCAGCAGGUUAAUACCCCGCUGUUCUGACGGUACCCAAAGAAUAAGCACCGGCUAACUUCGUG
rnacentral:rRNA from 1 species